rnacentral:rRNA from 1 species
GAUGAACGCUGGCGGCGUGCUUAACACAUGCAAGUCGAACGAUGAAGCCCAGCUUGCUGGGUGGAUUAGUGGCGAACGGGUGAGUAACACGUGAGUAACCUGCCCUUAACUCUGGGAUAAGCCUGGGAAACUGGGUCUAAUACCGGAUAGGAGCGCCUACCGCAUGGUGGGUGUUGGAAAGAUUUAUCGGUUUUGGAUGGACUCGCGGCCUAUCAGCUUGUUGGUGAGGUAAUGGCUCACCAAGGCGACGACGGGUAGCCGGCCUGAGAGGGUGACCGGCCACACUGGGACUGAGACACGGCCCAGACUCCUACGGGAGGCAGCAGUGGGGAAUAUGGCACAAUGGGCGAAAGCCUGAUGCAGCGACGCCGCGUGAGGGAUGACGGCCUUCGGGUGGGAAACCUCUUUCAGUAGGGAAGAAGCGAAAGGGACGGGACCGGCAGAAGAAGCACCGGCGAACUACGU